CUCUUCGGGGAUGAUUAAACCGGCGCACGGGUGAGUAACACGUGAGUGACCUGCCUUUUAGACUGGAACAACUUACCGAAAGGUGAGCUAAUGCCGGAUGAGUUAUAUAAGUGCAUGUUUAUAUAGGAAAAGUUGGGGAGACCUGACGCUGAAAGACGGACUCGCGUCCCAUUAGCUAGUUGGUAGGGUAAUGGCCUACCAAGGCGACGAUGGGUAGCCGGCCUGAGAGGGUGGCCGGCCACACUGGGACUGAGACACGGCCCAGACUCCUACGGGAGGCAGCAGUGGGGAAUUUUGCGCAAUGCUCGUAAGAGUGACGCAGCGACGCCGCGUGAAUGACGAAGGCCUUCGGGUCGUAAAGUUCUUUCGACAGGGAAGAAAAUGCCUAUAAGUAACUGUGUAUGUAUUGACGGUACCUGUAUAAGCAGCCCCGGCUAACUCCGUGCCAGCAGCCGCGGUAAUACGGAGGGGGCGAGCGUUGUUCGGAGUGACUGGGCGUAAAGAGCACGUAGGCGGUGUUGUAAGUCAUUAGUCAAAGACUAGAGCUCAACUUUAGUAAGGCUAGUGAUACUAUAAUACUAGAGUAUCAGAGAGGAUUGCAGAAUUCCUGGUGUAGCGGUGAAAUGCGUAGAUAUCAGGAGGAAUACCGUUAGCGAAGGCGGCAAUCUGGCUGGAAACUGACGCUGAGGUGCGAAAGCGUGGGUAGCAAACAGGAUUAGAUACCCUGGUAGUCCACGCUGAUAACGAUGGAUGCUAGGUGUUGGGCUUUUA
rnacentral:rRNA from 1 species